AAUAGAUACCCGGGUAGUCCACCCCGUAAACGUUGGGAACUAGUUGUGGGGUCCAUUCCACGGAUUCCGUGACGCAGCUAACGCAUUAAGUUCCCCGCCUGGGGAGUACGGCCGCAAGGCUAAAACUCAAAGGAAUUGACGGGGACCCGCACAAGCGGCGGAGCAUGCGGAUUAAUUCGAUGCAACGCGAAGAACCUUACCAAGGCUUGACAUAUAGAGGAAACGGCUGGAAACAGUCGCCCCGCAAGGUCUCUAUACAGGUGGUGCAUGGUUGUCGUCAGCUCGUGUCGUGAGAUGUUGGGUUAAGUCCCGCAACGAGCGCAACCCUCGUUCUAUGUUGCCAGCACGUAAUGGUGGGAACUCAUGGGAUACUGCCGGGGUCAACUCGGAGGAAGGUGGGGAUGACGUCAAAUCAUCAUGCCCCUUAUGUCUUGGGCUUCACGCAUGCUACAAUGGCCGGUACAAAGGGCUGCAAUACCGUAAGGUGGAGCGAAUCCCAAAAGCCGGUCCCAGUUCGGAUUGAGGUCUGCAACUCGACCUCAUG
rnacentral:rRNA from 1 species